rnacentral:rRNA from 1 species
UACGAAGGGGGCUAGCGUUGCUCGGAAUCACUGGGCGUAAAGGGUGCGUAGGCGGGUCGUUAAGUCAGGGGUGAAAUCCCGGAGCUCAACUCCGGAACUGCCUUUGAUACUGGCGAUCUUGAGAUCGGAAGAGGUGAGUGGAAUUCCCAGUGUAGAGGUGAAAUUCGUAGAUAUUGGGAAGAACACCAGUGGCGAAGGCGGCUCACUGGUCCGAUACUGACGCUGAGGUGCGAAAGCGUGGGGAGCAAACAGG